UACAGGGGGGGCAAGCGUUGUUCGGAAUUACUGGGCGUAAAGCGUGCGCAGGCGGUCUUGCAAGACAGGUGUGAAAUCCCCGGGCUUAACCUGGGAACUGCACUUGUGACUGCAAGGCUGGAGUGCGGCAGAGGGGGAUGGAAUUCCGCGUGUAGCAGUGAAAUGCGUAGAUAUGCGGAGGAACACCGAUGGCGAAGGCAAUCCCCUGGGCCUGCACUGACGCUCAUGCACGAAAGCGUGGGGAGCAAACAGG
rnacentral:rRNA from 1 species